UUGCAUGCAAUAUCUGUUCAGAUCCUAAGUUUGUGGUACUAGACGUGUCGAGUAUUUACAUACAUGUUAUCACCAAAUAUUUGCAAUAUGGGAAGAAAACGCAAUGAAACAACGUUGGAAGAGAGAGGAAUUAUUAUACGGUUAUACGGAGAGGGUAAAUCAUAUAGAAAUAUAUCAGAUAUACUAAAAAGAAGUCGAUCAACUGUACAGAGUAUAAUAACUAAAUAUGAAAAAGAAGGAACGUUGCGAAAUAAAGAAAGAACCGGCAGACCCCGGAAACCAAUUACGAGAGAGGAGUCUAAAAUUGUCCGAACUAUUAAAGAUAAACCAGAUACCAGUGCGUCGGAUAUUGCGUCACAUAUUUUAGAAUAUUUAACACUAUAUGUACAAGCAAGUUCAUCAGAAAACAGUACGAAGAAUAGUGCGUCAGGAAGGAUUCAACAGCAAAGUUGCGAGCAGGAAAUCAUUCAUCAGCAAAAUAAAUAAAAAGAAAGAAAUUAGAAUUUGCAGAAGGAUACAUAAACGCUAUCGAUGAGUUCUGGAAGAAUCUAUUUUCUAACGAGUCACACAAAAAUUUUGAGUCGGAUGGUCAUAAUCAGUAUUGGUGCAACAGUGUGGCGUAGAUUUAAUAUUGAAUUGGUCCCAAAAAUGUGCAACCGACGAUGAAACUUGCGAGGUCAAAGUGUAUGGUGUGAGGAUGUACUGGUGCUUCUGGAGUCGGGAUAUUAGAAGCUUUGAAAAUUUACAAGUGUAGAUAAAUUAGAGUCUAAAUUACCGACACUGCAGAAAAUACUGUAGUACGAUAGCGGACUCUACCUAAAUGGAACGGUCAACUAGUGAACUACAUUUGACUGCACAGAGGAAAGAGUAUGUCUGAGGUGCUAAAUUUACAGCGUUAAUUAUUCCUGCGAAAACUAUCGAUGUUUCCGUGAAAGCGUUUAAGCGAUUUCUUCCCUACUUGUCGGCACUUUGCAUACGAAUCCUAUGUAAUGCAGAAACAGAUUCUAAGCAACAUUUGUUAUUUAAAAUACUUUCAUUAAACAAUUAUGUGGCUAAUCGUUGACUUGUUCAAAAUUCCAUUUUUAAUUUUUUAUACAUAUUAAAUUAUUAAACAUUUUCAAAUUUUUAAUUUCCAUAUUUUUUAAUUAUAAUUUACAUAUAUGUAUGCCGUCCCACUAUUUAAAUAAAUUAGUUCAAGAUGUUUUCCUGAUGAAAAUAAGCCUAAAUAUGGCAUAAAUCGGAUAAUAAGGUAGCAUAAAUUGCUACCAAAAUUUUUGUGCGAAUCAUUUUGUAGACGAUAGAUUCUGCCUCCGAGUUUGUUGAAUUUGGAAAGUUACGAAUUCGAUGAAUGUGAUACUUUGUACAGGUCAAAUGUUGCAUAUGGCAUUUGUUUUCACACACAAGAAUCAUUAUAUGAUUUAUUAUAUUAUAUUAUUAUAUUGUAUUCAUAUAAUAGCAUUAUCACUGUAAAGCCUAUAAAUUUAUUAACGUUGUAAAUACCCCUUUGCAAGAAAAAAUGAAUAGAACUAUUCCUAUAUACCGUUUCUGAUUAUAUAAUUAUUAGAAAUAAUAGUUCAACUGUUCAUAAAAAUAAUUACACUUUAUAUCAUAUUUCUGUAGUACCUGUUUCAUAAAUACUAUUUCCAUCUAGCGAGGAGAUAAUGGUAGAGGACACAAUUACUGACAAAAUGAGACAAAAACAUAGGUUUAUAGGGUCGCCCUGUGAAACCAUAUAGUUUUGGCAUCAGAAUUCAUGAUAUUGAUAAUAUAGAGCAAAAAAUUUGAUACGUUUAGUUACACUGGUGCUUAUAAGGUGGCGUCUAAGUAGAAGGACUAUCAACAUGGAAUCGGAGGUAGAUGCAAGCUUGCGUUAUAACACAGAUUCCCAAUAGAUUGUGAACCCCAAAAAAUAAAUUAUAUUAACUUAUAUUUUGUUAUUAUGUUGUACAGAGAAAUUUAUAAGAGCGUCUAGUCGUAAGAUACAUCAAGUGAUAAUAUGAUGUGAUAUAAUAAGAGAGCUUAUGUAAGAAUGGCAGGUCUGCCAACCAUGUACGGAUAACAAUGUAAAAGGGAAAAAUUAUUUCCCCAUCACUUUAAUAAACCUGAUCUGAACCUAAACCUA